CGGAAACACCUAAUGUGCUUGUACAAAAUCUCCCAAGUAACUUAAAUUAAGUCAAACUCUAUCAAGAACCCAUAAAGUCCAAGAUACUGAGCUAGAUAUAGCUUGUGCUUUGCUCAGCAAAAAAUAUUAUACAAAAAGGAAAGCAUUCUUAAAUUAAAAUAAUAUUGUGUUCAGAUGGCUGGAUUAGAUAAAAAUCCCUCUCCACAAAUUUUAUAAUGGAGGUUUUUUAAAACAAUAAAAGGAAAAAAGGAUUAAGAAACAAUAAAUAAAAGUGUUGAUUACACCUAAAAAUUUAAAUAACAUCUCUGGUAAAAGGAAAAAAACAAUCAGGUUUAAUUGAUUUCAAAACUGAUAAUCAAUGUAUCGAAAGUCAAUGGGACAGAUUCUGCUAGGUAAGUAUACAAAAAUAUACUUCCACUUGGUAGCUAUAAAUUAGCCAUUUCUUGUCAAACUUCUGAAAUGACUAGAAACUAGAAUUACUGGUAAUGAAAUGAUUCUUGAAAAGAAGAUCUAAUACAACUUCACAAACAUCUGUGGGAAAAGCUUUCCCCAACUAUAAAAUCUAGUCCAAGUCAGGAAAUAAAAAGUAGUCCAACUUAGCUCUCUCAAAUAUAAUUGGCCAACCUCAUGCUCCUUCCUCCACCUUCCUCUUUUCCUGAUGGUCUGACCACUGAA
rnacentral:lncRNA from 10 species